AUCUAAAAUGGUUUCUCAUAACUCCAAGUCCUAUUUUUAACUAAUGAAUCUAGAAGACACUGGAAUUAGUUCAUGUCUAUCAAAGUGGUCAAGUCUUGAAUCAACAUUGGGACACAUGAUCUGACAGUUUCUUAAAUGCUCAUUAAAGAGAUGGGACUAUUUGGAAUCAAGGUGCCCCACAAAUCUAAACAAGACCCACACAUCUAAGGAUGCAGGGGAGCACAGGUGCUCCCCUUAGGGAAGAUGACAGCAGCACUGGGGACGUGGACAGUAACCCUUAAGACGGUGGGCCUGUGUCACCCAAAGUUGCCACCUCUAAAGUGCCCAUAAUAAAGGUGGCAAGAGGGACAUCUCAGAGGGAGAUCUCAGACAUUCUACUGAGUAUAAUAUUCCAUCCAGCCCGACUUUGCUUCCCUGAAGCUGAAUUCAUUCUGCUUUUAAGAAAUGGAUAUUGUCGCCGGCCCGGGGGUCUCACACAUGUAACCCCAACACUUUGGGAAGCCGAGGCAAGAGAGAGGAUCACUUGAGCCCAGGACUGUGAGGCCUGCCUGGGUAACACAGUAAGAUCCUGUCUCUACAAAAAAUUAAAAAUUAGCUGGGUGUAGUGACACGAGACUGUAGCCCCAGCUACUUGGGAGGCUGAGGUGGGAGGAUCCCUUGAGCCCAGCAGGUUGAGGCUGCAGUGAGCCAUGAUCAUGCCACUGGGUGACAGAGCAAGACCUUUUCUCCAAAUUAAGAAAAAAGAAAAAGAAAAGAAAUGGAGGGGCUGAAUUAUGCAGGUAAACAAAAAAGCCCUUCUGUGGCCUCCUCUCCACCUUCAUCCUCUUCUCCUCUAGCCAGAGACACAUCCAUGGGCCCCAUUCCCCCAAGCACCAGUCACCACCAACUUCUUACCCCCAAGAAAGAGAACAGCCUCAGGGGACCCCUGUGCCUCAGCACUCUCUCUGGGCCUCUGCAAUCUCACACAACUUUGUAGCUCUCGCGGGGCCUAGAGCCAAGGGACCUGGUUGGGAUCAGUGCCCACCCUUCUGCAAGGCUGGCCCUGACCUUAGGCCAAGUCCCAGCACUGGGUGGCAAUGUAGCACUGUGGGUAGCACCCAGGCCUCCAAGCAGCAGACAGACCACUGCUGGCAAGGGAUCUGGGUGCGUUUAUUACCAAAGCCUUGGUUUCCUAGCUUGACAAGUAAACACCCCAACAGAGAAGCUACUUUGUAGUGUUGCUGGACACAUUAAUGCAUUAGUGCUAUGUGCCUGGUCGUGCUUUAAAGACAUUGAAACAUCCAAUUCAUAAUAUCCAGAUGAGGUCGGUACUGCUGUCGUUUCCCUUUUACAGAUAGAGAGAGGGUAUCACAGAGAGGUUAAGAGAUGUGCCUAAGGCCACACAAGUGGUAAAUGUUAGAACCAGGAUUCCAGCCCAGGGAGUCUGGCUCCAGAGUGCAAGCUAGUCUUACUAUGCAAAUGAGUGUCUUUACAAUGCAUGUAAAGUUCUCAACGCAAUGCCAGGAACAUAUUAAAAGCUCAAUAAAUAGUAGCUGAUGCUCUUGGUUGCUGGGAUGCCUCAGGAAAGCAGACGGCGGCCACCCUGUGCUCUGUGUACAAACCUCAUCUCCCUCCUACACCAACAGCCUUAUGAGUCAGGAGUGUGCCUGUCUCGUCCACCUUUGCAGUCCCCAGCAUCAUGCCUUGUGGCUCUCUGAAAACCUGCUGGAUGUAUAGUAAGAUGACACCCAUUUAUCAAGCACCCACUGUGUGCCUUAUCUCAUUCAACCCUCCCACCGCCUCAUGGGCAAGCUGGGCAUUUCGGCAUCUCGGCAAAGGGACACCGCCACUCCACCAGUGUGGGGUGAACAGUGGAUAGAAAGAGAUGGACUCGCCAGGCAAUAGAGACUGCCCUGGAGUAGACUUCAAAUGAAACAGAGAUUAUUUAUUCCAUGUAUUGGUUACUUUAUGUGGUGCUUACACAACUCUGCUCUUCUUCACUUUCUAUUCCAAAACAUUUCCGGUAAGUAUUUUCCAUGGAUGGUGAUUCCAACUAAAGGAAAGAGAGAAAAGUACACUGAUGCUGACCAAGACCUUGAGGGGACUAAGAGGGAAAAUGAGAGCAUCACAUAAUGAGAGCUGACGUCAAGGCUGGCCGACUCAAGAAACGGUCUCAAAACCGUACAAUGUAGGAAACAGAAUCAUCACAAAGAAAAACAACAUGAUCUUGGAACAGUGGCAACCUCAAAGCACAUCUCUACGUCUUGAUAAGAAAAAAGAAGAGACGUAGAAAAUCCCCCAGAACCAGACUCCAGUUUGGCUUACGGUCUGUCAUAACAUCACAGGCACCAGGAGUGGGCUCUUUGGUGAUGAGAGCAGAACUGAGAAUGGAAAUGGAAAUCAAACACACAGCCCCAGUCAGGUCCCAGGUCAGCUGACCUGCUCCUGAUGUCUGCUGGGCUCAGGCCAGGAUAUCAGCGGAGGCCCCGGUCUGCGGCCUAUUCCCCUUCUCUCGCCAUCCCCAUCUGGUCAUGGUAACAAGGGGCCUCGCACAUGAGUGUGGACACCCCGGGCUGCAUGUUUUGAGCUCCAGCCAUGUCCACGUCUCAGUCACAGCUGGCCAUUCUCAGCCGAGGCAUGGGCACACAAGUGGCCCUAGGGAAGAUGAACUCAGUGCAGGCCCUGGCAGCUAGCAAAGGGGCAUUUGGGCAGAGAAUUAUAGAAAAGGAAGGAUCUGGGGGUCCAGGGGAUAUGUCCCUUUGCCCUGCAGACCUCUUUCCCCAUUAGGGAGCCACAGACAGAGUGGGUGCCUCUUGGAACAUAUGACCGUGUCUCUUUGGCCCAGAGAUGACAUCCUAUGCUAUCCCAAGUGUGAGCUGUUUUGGUCUCAAAAGAAAAGUCCCCUUGUCUUCCCUUCAGGGAAAAGUGCUAAAGAGGGCAGGAGACUGGUGGUUUGAGACCUGCCCCUUAGAAACCAUGUGACCCUGUGCCAUGACUGACCUUCCUAGACCCAGCCCUGUGUGUACAAAAUGAACACACCUACCUCACCACCUUGUUGGCAGGACUCAAAGGAUGACAAAGUGCCAGGCAAAUCGAUGUUUUCUUAUGGAGAGCCAGGGAGGUGAAUAUGAUUCGGGGGAAACAGCCUUGAACCUAUGGAAAUGACCAGUCUGUUCCAGGAAUAAUACCUACCUAAAGGAUGCUGUUAAGGACUGAAUAAGGAAGUGUGUACACAAAGGCACCUGGCACCCAGGAAGAACUCAAAAACUAUUCAUGGUGGAGGUGGUGGUGCUGGUGGCGACCAUUCCUAGUGGUGCUGGUGGUGCCAGGCACCUGCAGCAGAUAUUUGGCUAAAUUACGUAAUUUAAUGAUCACAAUAACCAAAGAGGUGUGUUCCUGUAGCGCAGAUGGAAAAAGUGGGGCCAAGAUCACAGGGUUCGUGAGUGAGCAGUGAGGCCAGGAAACACAUGCCUGUCUGUCUGCAUCCGAUUUCCUCUUCCCACCACACUCAGCACCACCUGGCUGGUUGUCUUGCAGACUCUGGGGAUAAUUCAUUCACAACACUCUCACCUGCUCACAGCAGGAAGCCUGUUCACAGCACCCCAGGCCAGAUCAGCCAUUGAGACACUUAUACUAGAGCCUGCGGGCCACCGGAUUUGCCAACAGACACACAAGAGUUCCUUGUGUUCCCAUCCACAUCAACUCGGCUCAUCACAAAACCCAUCCCAGGGAAAAUGAGCUUGCUGAUAAACCAACUAAGCGUUACAAGAAAUAACAGCAAAUUUUGAGGCACUUUACAAGGAGAGUCACACCCAGGUACUUGUUGGACCCAAGAAGACUCAGGUAGCAAGGCAGGGAGCGGCUCAGGACAGCCGCCCGGAACAGUCACAUCUAUUUGGUUCUCGAAAAUAAUGGAAAACAAACUCGGUUUUCGCAAGUGGUAUGCUGUGUACACUGAGUCCACAUCAGGUGUUCUUGAAUUCUCUGAUAAAUAAAAACCACAAGCAAUUGUGGCACCACCAGGCUGGAGGGAAGCGCCGGUUUGCAUCUGUCAAUAUGAGCAGCCUGGGGGCCUUAUGGGGCAGACCCUCUUCCUGAACUAGUGGUGUUGGAGUGAACACCUUCCAGGUCCCCAGGGCUCGCCCCUCACCCUGAAAAGAUUAAAUCAUUUAUUUGCAUAAGAAAAUAUCUAACCCAAAUACAGGAGGCACAGGCGGGCACAGGGAGCUGUGGUUACAAUGCAAGCAACAUCUGGACCUGCAAACUCAUGAUGCUGCUACAAGAAGCGCAUGCAAGGAAGAAACUGGCAACACCAAGGUGCCAAUGUUUUUUGAGACGGAGUUUCGCUCUUGUUGCCCAGGGUGGAGUACAGUGGCGUGACCUCAGCUCACUGCAACCUUCACCUCCCAGGUUCAGGUGUUCCACGGCACAGCAGGGGAGACAGAUUUUGUAGAAGAGGUCAAGGUGAGGAUGGAGCCUCAACAGAAUCUUCAAAACCAAAAGGCAAGUUGCAGUACCAGCUGACCCUCCGCCAUACAGAGGCCACUGCGGACGCCGAAACACCCUCCUCCCCAUCAGGCUGGCUUGUCCCCGGGGCAUCUGAACAAGCCAACCUGACAGGAUGGGUGCUCAGUGGAGGACACUCUCCGAGAAGACUGAGAUGAUGGGGAAACCCACUCUCCAGGGCUGGCUUGCCGCGCAGUUGUUUGGAGAAAGAGCUACCCUGGAGAACCUUAGUCACUGCUACGGUUGCAGAGAAGACGGAGCACAGGAGUAGCUCCUCAAGGAGGAGGGACACAGACCACACCCCCAACUUAUUGGUGACCUCCAAGGGAACCAGCUGGAACGGCAGCAAAUGGGCAUUUCCCCAGCUUUUUCUCACCUCGCUGUGAACCCAGCCCAGAUGCAUCCCACGCUUACUCACAGAAAGAGUAAAGCAAGCCAGCCAGUCACCUCUAGCCUGGGAACACCACUAAUUGGGAGGCCUCAAUCAACCUGAGAAGUCAGCCCAAGGCCCUGUCUCCAGAAGCCAGCAGCAGAUCUCUGGGUCAUGUCACAGGCGAGUCCUCACUUCACCAGCUCAGAGGUGAGCCACUCUCACCUGAACCUCUGCUUCCGGCAGGGACCUCCUGGGUCCUGUGGCGUCUCCUGGGUCCAGGCGGGUUUCUAGUCCAGCCCAGUCUAGACUGACUUCAAAUAUAGUAUCCCUGACAGUGUGCUUUUUUCCAGCCAGCCAAAUCACCGUUCAUUUUUAAAAUGGUUUUUAAAAAUUACAUUUCUAAGGCAAACAAUGUAGAACUGUGAUAGAGCAGAGGAACAACAAAAAAGCAAAGAAUGUUGCUAAUCACAGGCUGCCUAGCACUUUCCUUUCCCUUCAGAGAAGGAGAAACUGUUUUAUAGGUAUCACACAUGUGCCCACGCAUGCACGUGCACGUGCGCGCGCACACGCACACACACA